GUUUUGUUCGCUGGUUUGCGGAGCAGUGGGUUUUAUGUGGCGCUUCACGGACACAUUUCGGCCGCGUCUGACUCGUUAGGGAGAGCUACCCAGUUAGCUAGCCUUAGCGUUAGCAUCUGAAUGGCCUUCAUCGCCUGCUCAGCAGCUGUCCGGUAACGUUUACAGGUGAUGUAAGCUGAUUAUGUUUUGGGCAUCACUUUCACGUGAUAUUGUUAAUUGUGCAGUGCUUACACCCCCGCCCGCACACAGCCACCAUCGCUGUCAUUGUCGGCAGGUAAACAAGCUAAUGGGUAGCUGUCGUUAGCUAGCUGCGGCUAGGUUAGCUAGCCAAACAGACCAAUCCCUGUGUUGUACGUAGCACUGUCACGCCAGACAGCCGAGUCCUGCUCUGCACCCAGACACACAGGCUAUCUAACUCCUGGGUCCUCUGACGUCCGCGCUUUCCCACUCAUCAGGAGUAGUGUUACACACGGGCCUGUUCACUUGUUUGUGGUAGUGCUGUUUAUAUUUCAGCUCGAGCUGCCCUGCCCGUGUGUGUGCGCGCACCUCUUUGUCAUGUUCUUGUGACUGAAAAUGUGGGUGCGCUAACUUCUUGUUGGUAUAGAGGCUCCACAAUAUUCUGGUGGACUACUCAGCCACAGUUAGUUAGUUAGUUGGUGUUUGUUUUUUGCACAGUGUCUCCCUCUCAGUCCUACUGAAGGUGGUUGAGAGAUUGCCAAACAAGAAGUCGUGCUUCAUUGUUAAGGUACAGUUUGAGCUGUUGGACAGGCUGCAGAGAAAUGGAGGUGGGCAAACAGGUUGGUGUGUUUGAGCUGCUUUGUCUGCUCUCUGUUCUCCAGUGACACACACUCAUUAUUCAUGCCAGUUGAAUAUAACACUCCUUUUCUCCUUCAGACUCCUCACACUGCCAGUGCAGGGUAUGUUGUGUGUCCCAUACUGACUGUAUGUCUGCUGUGGAGCAUGUCAUCAUUCCCACUGCCGCUUAUUUCUCUGCUCAGACAUCUUAGUUGUUAUGCUCUGGAUUUCAUCUGUUGCCUUCAUGAUUAAAUACAUGUGCAGUGGAAAAGAGAGAUUAGUCGUUAAUGGCUGUUUUGAAGUGAAACACCAGAGCUUAGCCUGGGCUUACUUUCCUGGUACAACAGCUACUCAUGACUGUGACAUUUUUGGUGAGUGUUGCACAAUCUGAUUUCCUCUGUGUAACUGUAAUAUGGCGAGAGUCAAGUUUAGUAGCAUGUGCUUGCACGUCGAGUGUGAAUCUAAUCGAUUUGGUUGCUCACAUCUGGCUGAGCACUCAACAUUACUCUGGGUAGCUGAGUAGCGGGUGUACAGAUCAGUGUUGGGUAGAAAAUUAUAAAGACAUUGAUUUAGGCAGAAGAGAUGGAAUGGUGUUGUGUGGAAUAAGAGAAAGACCAAAGGUCUGAAAGAGGCUGUCAAGUUGUGAUUAUCAAUAAAACAUAAGGGUAG